AAAAACAUGGGUUGAACACUUCGGAUAAUAAAACUUCCAACACCACUGCUCUGGAUAACAAACCUUAAUAUUUCUUAUCAAAUUGAUAAUGAAAUUAGUGAAUUUGAAGCUUUAUCUGAUAACGAUUCAGAUAAAAGUGAUAAGAAUAUUGUAAUAGAUGAACUGAGGGUGAUUUAACAUUUUGAUCUUCUCAGCAUAAUAUCACACAAGAAUUCACUGAUUUAAUUUGCUGAUCUAUGACCAGAGCUGCUUAAAUGUUAAUGCAUCCUAAAAUUUUCUUUAAAUUUGUGUUUUUCAUGUAUUUAAAUAAAAUUCAUUAUAUAUAUGUAUUUUUUAUGCUAUAUUUUAUAUGAUCUCAUCAUCAUUGUCAUCAUCCUCCACCUUUAUUUUCCUUUAUUUUAUAUAUUUAUUCAACCUUAAUUUAAUUUAAAUUAGUUCUUAUACUUUUUAAUGUGUACUUUAAGGUGUUUAUAAUAUACCAUAAAAAUUUCUAUAAAUUAUAUUUUAACAUUAGACUUAUGUGUUUAGAGUACAGAAGUAACCUGAUGAAAAUUAUGAUAGUGACUCACAAGAUUUUAAUGAACAUCAAGAAUUAAAAAAGUCUUGUCUGCAGACACCUGUCUCUGUAUUAAACAAAAGUAAAACGAGAUUGGAAAAAGUGAUCAUAAUUACCUCUGUGAUUAUGGUGAAGGGAGUAGCAGCAAAAAAGGAAGUAGCAAAAAAAUUGAAUUGGACAGGGCAAGGUGAUUUUCAAAAAAAGUCUUUCCGAAUUCUUAAAUUUCGUCAAGUUAUUGAAAAAGCAAUACGAAGAAAUUUGCUGACAAAAGAUACCACAUACAGCGAAAUUUAAAAGGCAGUUGUGGCUUUUUUUUCUGGAGCUCUAGACAGAAAUAAAGGCAGAAAAGAAGGAGCAGAAAAAAAGUCCAUCCAAAAAACUAGUUCAACAAAAAAUCAUUGACAUUGAAACCUUUAUCUGGAUUAUCAUUACCACGAUUUGAACGCUUUAUUUUUGAUUAAUCUGACAAAGUAUAAUGUUUUUAAAGUCUUGCAUGAUCUGUUUUAUGUUAUGUUUUAUAUUAGUUG